UGGGGAAUUUUGGACAAUGGGGGAAACCCUGAUCCAGCAAUGCCGCGUGUGUGAAGAAGGCCUUCGGGUUGUAAAGCACUUUUGUUCGGGAAGAAAUCCUUCGAGCUAAUACCUUGAGGGGAUGACGGUACCGGAAGAAUAAGCACCGGCUAACUACGUGCCAGCAGCCGCGGUAAUACGUAGGGUGCGAGCGUUAAUCGGAAUUACUGGGCGUAAAGCGUGCGCAGGCGGUUCGCUAAGACCGAUGUGAAAUCCCCGGGCUUAACCUGGGAACUGCAUUGGUGACUGGCGGGCUAGAGUAUGGCAGAGGGGGGUAGAAUUCCACGUGUAGCAGUGAAAUGCGUAGAGAUGUGGAGGAAUACCGAUGGCGAAGGCAGCCCCCUGGGCCAAUACUGACGCUCAUGCACGAAAGCGUGGGGAGCAAACAGGAUUAGAUACCCCCGUAGUCC
rnacentral:rRNA from 1 species